rnacentral:rRNA from 1 species
UACGAAGGGUGCAAGCGUUACUCGGAAUUACUGGGCGUAAAGCGUGCGUAGGCGGUUCGUUAAGUCUGUCGUGAAAGCCCUGGGCUCAACCUGGGAAUUGCGAUGGAUACUGGCGAGCUAGAGUACGGUAGAGGAUGGUGGAAUUCCCGGUGUAGCGGUGAAAUGCGCAGAUAUCGGGAAGAACACCCGUGGCGAAGGCGGCUCUCUGGGACGGUACUGACGCUGAGACGCGAAAGCGUGGGGAGCGAACAGG